rnacentral:misc_RNA from 1 species
CUGCGUCUCUGUCGGAGGAAUCUUCCGACGGACGGCAUUUCAUUGAGAUUCACGAAGCUUAUGCUACGUUAUCAGAUCCUGUUUCUAGAGAUCUCUAUGAUCUCAAGCUAAACAUGAGCUCCGGCCGACGAGGUUUUGGGAGCUCCGGCGAUGGAAUUCGUAGGAAUGGGUCAGAGUUUUACCCGACCCGAAGGUGGGAAACGGAUCAGUGUUGGUGACGUCAGAUGAUUAGGAUUUAG